UACGGGGGGGGCAAGCGUUGUUCGGAAUUACUGGGCGUAAAGGGCUCGUAGGUGGCCAACUAAGUCGGACGUGAAAUCCCUCGGCUUAACCGGGGAACUGCGUCCGAUACUGGUUGGCUUGAGUUUGGGAGAGGGAUGCGGAAUUCCAGGUGUAGCGGUGAAAUGCGUAGAUAUCUGGAGGAACACCGGUGGCGAAGGCGACAUCCUGGACCGGCAUUGACGCUGAGGCGCGAAAGCCAGGGGAGCAAACGGG
rnacentral:rRNA from 1 species